rnacentral:rRNA from 1 species
UCACUUUCAACAACGGAUCUCUUGGCUCUCGCAUCGAUGAAGAACGUAGCGAAGUGCGAUAAGUAAUGUGAAUUGCAGAAUUCCGUGAGUCAUCGAAUCUUGAACGCAAUGCACUCUCUG